UGUCCCUAUACAUGAGACCACUCUGCAAGAACCUUCUAAGACAUAGAAGUAUGAAAAUAAGCAAGGCCAGGGGCAUCCAGAGAGAACAGCUCACUCAGCAUCCCAGCCUAACCACGGCACAAGGCAUCUUGCCUUGCCCCUUUCAUCCUAUUGCUGGCCUCCUACAUCCAUUGUCCCUGAGCUCAGCCAAAGCUCAGUAACUGGCAGGUAACUCAUUAGUGUGGCACAGCCCCAAAGCCUGGCAGGGAGACAGGGCAUAAAAGCAAAACUCUUGACAUAGACCAGAAGGACAAUCCUGGCAGACUGCACCUGGCAGUGACCCAGAGAUGCUGCUCCAGCCAACAUCCCCAGCCGCCACCCUAGCAAGGCCAGGUUGGUUGCCAGGAGAUGUGGUUUGCAUGGAGUUAUUGUUCCAUGGGAAACUGGCUGUCUUCCUGCUCUUCAUCUGUCAGCAGGAUUUUCAGAGAAUAUGUUCCCAAAUAUGAAGUGAAUUUGGCAGGCUGGGCUAGAGCCCUUUACUAGAAAACCUGGACAUCAGAGUGUGUCCGGUUUAAUCCCAGAGUCUGUGAGAAUCAGUGUAAAGUAGCAUAUCAAGUGAACUUUUCACUCUGUGGCAGAAGGGAUUACCACAUCCCCUUUGUUUGUUGUGCACUUCGUAACUGAAAACACUUUAACCCUUUCUUGCAGCCCUGCGACACUAAGUACCCAUGAAAAUUCCUAGGAAAACUGCAGCUGUUCCAAUCUCCUAUGGCUGGGGGUGAUGGGUAUACUCAUUUUCCAUGAACCAUUGCUCCUAGUCUCCCUCUUGGCUAGGGAAAUGGGUCCUGUUUUAAAAUGCCUCGCCACAGAACUCCUUGGGAAGGUUUUGCAUCAGGCAGUGCAGGCAGCACCAGGUGCUCCCAACUUCUCAUAGCCCUGAACUGGCAAAACCUGGAGGAGGAUCCACUGAUUCCAUGUCCAAGUGAGUUUCGCAGCUAUAGAGCAGCAGUUUCAGUCCUUUCAGCGCCCACUCAACACACCAAUCCAUCAUCUUUUACUGCCCUGCAUCAGUGCAGUUCCAAAGAGAAAAAAAUGCACAGGAAAAUCCUGCCAAAAUAUUAAAGUGAGAUCAUUUCUAUUAGAAAACGUUCCCUGUGAAGAAGCACAUUUUGAUGUGAAACAAAUCUGAAAAUAUAUUUUUAUUCAAGAUGAAUGAAAAUGAAAAUUCUGGCCUCUAAGAAGUUUAUUUCUAAUAAAUCACCUGUUUAAUUUUUCCCUCCUUCUUCCUUGGUUCUUUUCCAGUUGAAAUUUCAUCAGUGCUGGACAAGUCAUCAGGUGACAUUGUGUCAUGAUUUUAAUGCUCCUAUUCCAACUUGAUGACUUUCCUACAGUUGGAAAAAACAAAGGGGAAGUAAAAUGCAGAACAGGCAGUAAAGCCAGACUGCGGGACAUGAAUAAUCUCACUGCCCUCAGCAGUAAACUGAGAUGAAAAAGAAAAAACUUCCUAUUUCCAGUUUCAAAAGAAAGGUUUUGAAAUGCAACCUGAAAAGCUGAGUUUGAAACUGGACUUUCGGCUUUAUCCUGUAAAUUCCACUGAUGAUUUGAGACAAGAAAAAUUACUUUUUUUUUUUUUUUCCUGAAGAGAAAAGCAUUAAAAUUAAACUUUCUAGGUGGGGACUUUCUCCUUUAGGAAUUUAGUGGUGCCACCUCUGCAGCAGCUUCUCAUCAGCCUUGAGUUCACUAUGUAGACCCCCACAUGCAUCCAUUUCCUUUUCAGGAUGCAGUUUUUACUCUCUCCAUUUUACAGCUGUGUCCAUCACCUCCAGUCACUCCCCACCC
ensembl:lncRNA